rnacentral:rRNA from 1 species
AACGAACGCUGGCGGCAGGCCUAACACAUGCAAGUCGAACGCCCUAGCAAUAGGGAGUGGCAGACGGGUGAGUAACACGUGGGAACGUGCCCUUCGGUUCGGAAUAACUCAGGGAAACUUGAGCUAAUACCGGAUAAGUGCGAGAGCAGAAAGAUUUAUAGCCGAAGGAUCGGCCCGCGUCCGAUUAGCUAGUUGGUGAGGUAAUGGCUCACAAAGGCGACGAUCGGUAGCUGGUCUGAGAGGAUGACCAGCCACACUGGGACUGAGACACGGCCCAGACUCCUACGGGAGGCAGCAGUGGGGAAUAUUGGACAAUGGGCGCAAGCCUGAUCCAGCCAUGCCGCGUGAGUGAUGAAGGCCCUAGGGUUGUAAAGCUCUUUCGCCAGGGACGAUAAUGACGGUACCUGGAUAAGAAGCCCCGGCUAACUUCGUGCCAGCCGCCGCGGUAA